GUUCCAGCUUACGAAAAGCAUGAUGCACCUCGGCAAAGGCAGCUCACGCUGUUUACUCCUUGUGCUGGAGGAGACAGCGGAAAACCGGGGCUGGCUCCGGUUCCCUGCUCUCCUCUCCGGUGUCACCCUGCCCAGCUGGGUUGAGCGCUGGGGACACUUUGCCUCGAAGGAGAUCAGCACAAGGAGGAUGAAGGAAUCCGAGAUGGUCGUGGGAGCCACCACACGGAAGCGGAUGGCAUCCUGAGCCAGCCAGAAGGGCUUCUCUGGCAUCUCGUGCUGGUAGAAAAUCAACCUGCUGUCCACCUAGGAGCAAAGAAAACCUCCAUGAGCUCUGCCGAAGGGUAAAAUACAGACCCGUGUGGAAAACAGUG